rnacentral:lncRNA from 1 species
GAAAAACUUGAAUAAAGUAGACCACAAAUUUCCAUGCUUUAAGCUAAGAAAUCCAUGAAAUCUAAUGAAUGAAACAAACAAGGAAAAGUCAAACAUUAACUGGAGUGCUGAAGAAUGAGAAUCCGAAGAUGCCUCAGACCAAUACAGAGUAAACUCGGCAGCAGAGACUAUUCGAAAGAUAAACAAAGGUCUGAAAGCACAAUGAUGAGAAACACUGCUCUGCUCUGGAAGGUUUAUAGGUAAUACACAAUUCUUGACCCUUCAAUUUUAUCUAUCAAACUUAGAAUUAAAAUUUCAAGAAUUGGAGAUGAAGUAGUCAUAAUCGAGGUAGCAAUAGCAGUGAAUGUUUUCACUGUAUACUCCUGAAUAAUAAAAGCACAAAAAGUGCUAUACAAUGAAGAAUUCGACUGAAUAAAAAAAAAAAAAAAAACCCUUAGAUCCUUGUGUCGAAUCCUCACCACUUUACUAGAGGAGACCCCGUCGCUGAUAGGCUACUUUUUUAGUGAAUAUAGGAGAGGAGAACCAGGAAUACCAAGAAUACAUGAACUUUGACAUCAUCAAGGGUAAAUCUACGUACGACAAAGUCCUUGGACAACCUAACCUGAAGUAGACGACCAUAGUUAUCUCCCUCUAUCAUUUGCAUAUGAGAUACUCCACGAAUAAAGGUGAAGUGUCUUUAAAGUAAAAUGAAUGGAUCUUAUGUAGGAACUGCAAAAGCAACAAAAAAAUGAGGUCUGAGAGCUCCUAAGAUUAUCAUCGUUGUAGUUGAAAUGAGUAACCUCGAGGAUAAACUAGAAAUUGAUGACUCUAAAGACCCCGCAUAACUGAGUGUACAUCAGAAGCAACAAUGAUCGAAGUGCUAGAAAGUUUAUCUGUUAGCUCAAAAGAUUCGAGUAGAGCUCUAAAAAUCGGUAAGGACUUAAGUGAACCUAUGAAAGGCUUGCUAUAAACUUCAUAGCUUUGAACCUGGAUGCGUUCACCUGGAAACAUACAAAAAUGAUAGGGAUCGAUCCUGAAGUUUCCUAUCAGAAAAUGGCUUUAUCUGCGAAGUUCACUACCCAGUUUAGAUAUGCAAUCCGAUUCUAGAUUUUAUGGAUUUGAAUAAAGCUUGUUCUAAAAGACUAGUUUUCGUUCCUUGAAAUUCAUUAGCUAGUAGAUGCUACGAAGUGAUGUCAUUUUGGGCUAAAAAAUGUGGAGGACUACGUAUCAAAUGCUAGUGAACAAAAUGUUCGCAAACCAAAUAGAGAAAACAAUGGAAGCGUACGACGAUAUGCCUAUAAAAAGCCUUCAGGCUAGAGGGUAUUUGAAACACUUAAAAGAGCCUUUCAAUGUAUUGCAAAAGUACAGAAUGAAACUCAAUUCAUUAAAAUGCAUGUUUGGAAUAAAAUCUAGAAAGCUCUUUAGUAAUAUGGUCAAUCAGCAAGGUAUUGAAGUGAACUUCAACAAAAUUCAGGCCCUCAAAAAAUGCAGUCCCCAUCUAACCCAAAAGAUGUGCAAAGCUUAACAGUGAUGGUCGUCACCCUAAGUAGGUUUGUAUCUUGAGUAAUAGACAAAUGUUCUCCUUUUUCAAGUGCUGAAAGGAGGAAAGAAAUAUAUGAACAUGAAUUCCAAGCGUUAAAAGAUCACCUGGGAAAAGCAUCUCUAUAAGCUAAACCUGAGAACCAAAAAAAAAAAACUAUUGCUAUAUCUAACAGUAUCCAAGGCAACGGUCAACUUGGUACUCGUAAAAGAAGAAGGGCACUGAUUGGAAGCACAAUUGACCUUUUUUUAGUCACUCAAGGAGAAUAAGAUGAGUAGAAGAAUGAGCCAAAGACAACUAACCCUCUAACCUAAGCACAAUAGUAAUAAACGAAAUCUUAAAAAGCUGAAAAUGUUUCUGGAAACAAGUAAACAAAGGUGAAACCUUGGCUUCUUUUUCUUACCCUUACUAUGUAAAUAAAGUCUUGUAAGGACUAGAUGUAAGAUAUUCGAAUAUGAAAAAGUUGGCCUUUACCUUAGUUACGAUGUUGCAAAAGCUGUGACCCUAUUUCUAGAGCUAUAGCAUUGCAGUAUUAACAAAUUUCCCACUCAAACAAGUGUUGCAAAAGCCUAACGUGUCAGGAAGAUUAACGAAAUUGAUAGUAGAGGUGGGACAAUUUGAGAAAAAAACUAUUAAGGAUGAUCCGUAGUUAAGCACUUGCAUUAGCUGACUUUAUUGCAGAAUUGUCAGAUGUUCCUAUCCCUGAGAAAGAGCUAGAACAGGGAACAUAGAAUUUGUCUGUGGAUGGAUUAUCGGGAGAUAGAGCACAAAUUGAAUUACGCAUCAAAAUUCACAUUUGAAGCAACUAAUAAUGUGGGCUGAAUAUGAAGCACUAUUGGUAGGCCUAUGGCUGGCAAAAGAAAUGCAUGCUCGAAAUAUUGAAAUAAAAAGUGACUCAUGGUUGUAAACCAAUUAAACGAGACAUUCACUUCCAAGGGUAAAAAAUGGUUGUAUAUCUCACGGAAGCCAUAAGGUUACUUUAGUAUUUCGACAAGUUUGAACUUACCUUAAUUCCUAGAAAGGAAAACGAGCAUGCAAAUGACUUGUUAAAAUUGGCAAAUUCAAAAGACGCAUAACUGUUUAAAAUAGUCUUCGUAGAAUUGUUUUCAGAACUAUCAAUUGGCCAAAAAAUAAAGAAAAUCCUAUGCAUACAAGGUAAAUGCAUGGAUUCAAGACAUCAUUUUUUUAAAGAUGGAGUACUCGUUGAAGAUACAAAGAUAGCCCAAAAAUUGUGAAUAAGAGCUGCUAGGUAUACACUGCAAGGUGAUAUCUUAUUCAAGUGAGUGUAUAGACUCCAUCUCUUUAGAUAUAUAAGCAAUGACAAGGCUUGGUGUGUGAUGAAGGAGAUCCACGAAGGCGUAUGUGGUAACCUCACUAAUGGACACUCUUUAGCAUAAAUGACCUUGAAAUAAGGAUGUUAUUAGCAUAAUAUGAGAAAGGAUGUAAUGAACUUUGCUAGGAAAUGUGAAAAAUGUCAAACGUUCACACCUAUUCUACGACAACCCUUACAAGAAUUGAUAAUCGGUAGUGGUCUCUGGCCCUUGGUGAUUUGUUUAACAUGCUUACUAUUAUGGUGAAUAUAGUGGGUGCAUCAUGUAAGCGUGUAGAUACUCUUCGAACAAGUUAUCAUUUUGAGAUUUUGAUGAAACUUAAUAUUGGGAAACUUUGAGGUGGCAGUAAUAAGUUUCAAAAAUGAGUUUGGCUCGACAUUAAAAGAUAAAGGCAUUUAUCCUGCCGAUCAAGUGGUGACAGAUAUUCAAGGAAAAAUUUCUUUUCAUUGUCUACGACAACUCUUCAAAAGCCACAUUUGUAGCUACUGUGGUAGUUUCAUAAUAUUAAGUUUUUGUUCCAUUUAGAAUCUAGGCUUAUUCUAAUCGGUAAUAUAUUUUUGAGACAAAAAAUAUAUUACUCAAUUAUAUCUGGUACAGGAUGUCAAUGGGAGCAUACCUUUUUUCUAAAGGUCAUCUCGUUCUCUCCAAUUAUUAAGAAGUUGUGAGCCGUGACAAAUUGCUCCAUUUUCCAAAAGUAUUACAUUCUCAAACCUGUCAAAUCGAGAAUACAUAAAAGAAUUACAAUAAAGCUACAAGUACAGGGGUUGGUUCACAGGCUGCUUACAGGAUUUCAAAAAUUUCUUACGUGGCACUUUAAAAACAAACAAUCAAAUAAAAGGAAACAUGGCGGGGGAAAACACAAAUUUUUUUUCCCACCAUUCUCACCCCCGAGCUCCCCCAAAUUGGAGAUAAGCCCGACGACUGUGAAGACCAAAUAUGGCGUAAGAAGGGCAGGAAAUCACAAUCUUUAAAUCCAUUCAUCCCCGUCGACCUCCCCCAAAUUGGAGAUAAGCCUGGCGACUGUGAAGACUAAAUCCGGCAGGAAAUCACUAAUUUUCCCACCAUUCACCCCCAUCGACCUCCCCAAAAUUAGAGAGAUGCCCGCACCCGUCAAAACCGAAUCCGACGUCUUCUGACUGUAAAUCGAUUAGCGCAGCCAUUUCGACGGCUUAUUCCGGCUCUGAGAUCAGUUGUGUAUAUUAAGCUCAACACUUUUUGUCUGAUUCACUUUUUAAAUUUUCUUUUGACGUGUUGGCUGCAUUUUUAAUGAGGUAUUUGAAGUUUUACAUGAUAAAGUUUCGAGCUGUUUGUUUAGUUAUCGGGCAUAGCUGCCAUUAUGAAGUUAGAUGUAAAGGAUCUGGUGUUCACGAGACUUUUCACAUAGAUUCAAGUAAAUUUCAUAGUUGCUGUUAUUUGGAUUUGCUUAUGAUAAUACUUUCUCAUAUCAUUAUCGGUGUAAAGCUAUUUUUUAUUAUUAUUAUUUUUUUAAAUCAGAGCACGUCUUAAUUACAGAACUUCAUUGUUAAUAUGAAUUUAAGUCCCUUCUUGCUUCAUUUGAGUUAUAUGGUUUCUAAUCUCAUGAUGAGAUGAAGGAAUGUUGGAGUUUGUCACAAUUAUAGAAGCGUGUUGCACUACCUCGAGGACUGCCCGAGAGAAUGUCAAUGCCGGUGGUGUGAACAUGGAUAUAAAAAUUGCGGGUUGAUACUCAUUCAAAACAUGCAGAAAUAACUGUAGCUAUUUUGACUGGAUUGUGCUAGGAGUAAAUUUCAUAGUUGCUGUUAUUUGGAUUUGCUUAUGAUAAUACUUUCUCAUAUCAUUAUCGGUGUAAAGCUAUUUUUUAUUAGUAUUAUUUUUUUAAAUCAGAGCACGUCUUAAUUACAGAACUUCAUUGUUAAUAUGAAUUUAAGUCCCUUCUUGCUUCAUUUGAGUUAUAUGGUUUCUAAUCUCAUGAUUAGAUGAAGGAAUGUUGGAGUUUGUCACAAUUAUAGAAGCGUGUUGCACUACCUCGAGGACUGCCCGAGAGAAUGUCAAUGCCGGUGGUGUGAACAUGGAUAUAAAAAUUGCGGGUUGAUACUCAUUCAAAACAUGCAGUAAUAACUGUAGCUAUUUUGACUGGAUUGUGCUAGGAGAAUCAAGUGGCGAAUCAAGUCUCAAUAAUGAAACAAUGAAUCAGGCAACGAACGAGGACGUCGAAAAAUUUGUCAAGCAUACUUGAAAUGCUAGCUCGAACAAGCGAGAAACGAAGUUCCAAGAUUUUGUUGAACGUGACAUUUCGCAAGGGAAAAUGGUGUGAUGAAGGGAAUUGGAAAGGGGUUGGCUGGAUUAUGUUUAAUAAAUUGAAAGGGUUGUCUAGUUACGUUUGUAGUACAAAGACUAAUAGUGUUGCAUUUUGUAUUUCCAUUGUUCUGUAAUGUCAUAAUUAGUGUGGUGCUACAUUUUGGAUGAUGUAAUAGAAGUUAUUUAUAAUCAAAUUGCAAUGGUAAAUGUUGUGAACCACGAAUGUGAAGGUCUAUCAUUCUAUAUUCAUCAUUCUAG